UUUGGUGCAACUUUCGUUUUCGUCUGUCUGCCUCCCCGUGCGAUCCCCUCCUGCUACUCUGAUGAAAGGUGCCGACAUGUGGGACCUACUGCACGCAAGCGCCGCCUCGUUGCUCUGCUUCCUCCGCUUCUCAUCGUGAGAUCCCGCUCGCUCUCCCUCCCCCGCGCCGCGCGUGCGUUCCCCUUCGUGGGAUCCUGCUCGUUCCCCCAUGCGGCCACACCAUAAUCCUCGUCGUGCGCGCCUGCUUCGUCGCCACAUCCAGCCCGCGUCGAGCGCCACCAGAUCCGUCGACCGUUCCUCCAUGUGACGACCGCGCUCUCCGGCAGCCGCUCCUCCUCUCUGGCGGCGGCUUCUCUCUGUGACGAGCACCCUCUCUCCAGCGGCGGCUCCUCCCUUCGCGGCAGCCACUCCUCUCUCUAGCGGCGACCCCCAGCGCGACAAUCCCAUCAUGGGUGGCCUCCCGACGCGGCGGCGGCUCAGAUCCACAUGGGGUGGGGCACAGAUCAUCGAGGUGAUGAGGCCCUAGCUCUCCAUCUUCCUCUUCUCUCACUCUACCUCGCAGGCUGGAGUGUAGGGUGGAGACGCGAUGGUGGCAUUAGUUUUACCUAGGGAGAGGCUUGGGAUGUGCAUGAAGGUAGUCACACACCGAUGCCCCUAGCGGCCGACAUGGAGGAGGAUGUGCUGGUCGCUUGGCCACGUACAAGGAGCGGAUGUCCCUCUGUGUUUGCGACUGCCUCUUGUCAGCAUAUGCAUGUAAGGUGUUUGAUGAAAAUCCCUGAUGAGGGGAUAGCUCUCGAAUGCUUGGCAAGGCAUCCAUCCAUCAAUGAAGAUUUCGACAUUUCGAUCUGCCAGCUGAUGAGUUCCCAUUCAAAUUCUCUUACUAGAGCCAUCAUCCUCUUCUCGUGCAGGUACUAUAAUUUCCCCUUUUGCCUAAUUACCAAAUUAGUCUGGAUAUAAAUGAUCCACCAUUUCUUUUGCUAUUCUAUGAAAUAUCCAAUUGAAUCCUUGUGCUCGAACUAGAUAUACACAUGAUCUAAAUUCAUGCCAUGUCAAGUGUGUAUUCAUUUAUCACUAAGUAGUGAAGGAUUGAAUGUACAGUGUUGUGUUUUUAGGAAAUUUUCUUGCAGUACUUCAAAAGCUCCUAUAUAACAUGGGAACCAAGGUUUUUGAUUGCCAUGGAGUUCUAGAUAUAAAACAUGACUGAUUGGAAAACAACUUUCUCUACAUUUACAGGCAUUUUGGUUGGUGAUGAGCUUGUAAUGGCAUGGAGUGAAUACAUUUACAGGUUUUUGAUUGCCAUGGAGUGAAUAAAUUUCAGUUUAUUUUUCAUGUAUUGCUAUAGAAAGAACUUUGUAGUUUAUUAAUUGUGACUAGGUAGGAUAAUAGCAAGAUGGAUAAGCAAAAAAUGCCAGUAGAUCCUUUUUAAAAAAAAUGGAGAAUGAAACAAAUAUCUGAGCUGGCUUGUACAUUCAGCAUCCAUAGCAUACCCCUAAAGAUUCCCAUAUCAUGAGUUUCAACUGAUAGACAGAUGUGGAACCAGAGAUUUUCAAACUGAUUGAAUUCCUAGAGCUACUCCUGGAACGCUGUGAAAUCCGAUGAUCUGAUACAGGGACAUCCAUAGAUGCUUCUUUGAUAGACUUUGGCGCAGUCCUUGAGGUUCUUGGCCCCUAAUCCUUCUCGAUCUCGAUCUGAUCUCUUGCAAGUCUAUCUUGCCAUCGUCCUUGAGUACCUUGACGCUAUCCUUGAGGUUCCUGGCCCCAUCCUUCUCGAUCUCGAAUGUGUGCUGCUUUUGUUCUUUAUAUACAUUUAUAGCAUUCUUCAGGAUAACAAAGCUGAUAGAAUACAUGGUUCUUCAUAGAUCAGAUUCCUGCUAAUGCAUAGCUGUUCCAUUUUUUUAUUUCAAGAAUCCUAUGUUCACCAAUGCCCUCGUGGUUCAUAAAUAUGUUAUUUUGCUUAACAUUUUUGACUCAAAUAGAAAGGAUACAGUUUUUAUAGUUAAGGCAAAGUGAAACCUCUUGACUAAUUUUAAACAUUUUUUUAAUUUCAAUAAGUUUCAGAGUUUUCAAUGACAAAUAUUUAACCAGAAUUCCGUAGCUGUUAACCGCUUGGCCAAUGUUAAUCUUUUAACUGCAAUCAUGAGGUAAUACUAGCUUCCCUGCUCAUCAGAUGCUUAUGGUCCCAUAGACACCUUAGUAGGAUAUCAAGGACAAAGAGCACCCUCGUGAUAUAUGUGAAGGGUUAUCCCGAGGCUGCUAGGUGUGGAUUAAGUGCAUUGGCAGUGAGGAUCCUUCAGCAAUAUGGUGUCCCAAUAUGGUAAGUUGGCUUUGGUGUCCAUACCUUUGAUAUUCUGUCAGAUCUCGACCUCAAGUAUUCUGUUAAAGCAUAACCACUAAUGAGGUAAGUAACUUCUUUCUAAUACUUUUGUGUGUUGUUAGACGUUCUGCUUUUAAAAUCACAUUGAGAUACCUAAAUUUACUUCUCAAAUUGCUGGCAGCUCUAGCUCAUAUGAGAUACACUGAUUUAGCUGUACCUCACGUUUGGCCCAUUUGAUCAGCAAGGUCACUUCUUGCUGGUAAUUGGGUUCUGUUCAACAGCAUGGGCAUUUUGAUAAGUUCUUGCUUUAUGAAAUCCUCACUUGGUACCCUAAUACUAAAGAAUGCAUAGGACAAAUGUUUGAAUGGUUCUGAUGAAUAAUGUGGUUCUGAAUAACAAAAAUUAAAUGGCAAUAGCAUAUGCUUCUUAGGCUGUUUAUAUCUAUCAUCUGUUCUAAAACCAUGUGUUUUGUUUCAGACAAUAUUCUUAUGUUUUUUCCCACCAUAUAUAUACUGAGCAAUAAUGUUUGGUUUUCCUAAUUGCCAUAUGCUAGAAAACUAACAGUAUCAUGUAACCAUAUCUUAUCCAGUUAGGUUAGGCAACUUCUUUGUAUAUAAUAUGUUAGGAUUGUUUGCUAGGCCUAUUGGGUGGGAUGGAUGCCUCCUUCAAUCCGAUUAGCGUGCAAGUGCAAAUAUGAAGUCAACAUGACUUUUACACUUACUGUAGAACUUCAAAAGCUAGAGAGAUGUACUCUAAUGAAUUCACGGAAAAUUACUUAGAGCAAAAAAUAUUUUGGACUGCAGUGCCAUGUUCUUACCAUCAUAACUAACAAUAGGGAUUCAGUUGUAGUGAUUUCUGCAAUUUAAUUUGGUUUUGGUUGGUCCACUGAUGGCCUCAACAUUGUGAUUCUGGCCUCUGGUGUCUGGUACUACAGCGACGUCUUCCGCGGUUCUGCCUCAAGUUCUCAAAAAAAAUGGUUUGUUUGGAUUCUCUACAUAUGAUGCCUGGUGGGAGCACAUGGUCUGCGCACGCUGGUGGACUGGGUCACAGUGGUGGGCUUGGUUGGCCUACCUUGGUUUGGUCAGUUAAGAGGUUUUUGUGGUCAGGUCUCACGUCUAUCCACGUGUAUUCACAAAUGUAUAGUACUAUAAAUGCAGAUGAUUGUAAACCACUAAUGAGAACUUUAGCCAUCCACAAAAUUCAAUUUGUAAUCAUUAUUGUUUUUUAACUAUACAACAUAUUUAUAGUUAAAUUAUUAGAGCAUUAUUUAUUCCCGUUGCAA